GAGUGGCUAAAAUUGUUAAAUUCUUCGGGGGGGGGGGAUGUGGGAUAGAGGGCGAACUUCCUGGGUUUGGAUUAGACAAUGGCUUGAUGAAUAGAAUCCCAAAAGUCCGGGCAACACAGGAAACACUAGAAGGUGGACCUGAUCGCUAUUUAAAUGGAUGGAUCAGGAACUCUAGCAGGAGCGUGACGAGGCAGUCCACACGAUGGGGAAGCUGGGAUUAAGGAGUGUUCCACACCGCCGCCCAGAUGAGGCAGAAGGAGUUCCAGGCCAGCUAGGACCAAUGAAUGCUGGAGCUCGGCAAUUGAGAGGCAGCGUUGGCAGAGUAAGCAUCUUCUUGCUUGCGGUGGUCCAGAUGGGUGUCCAGAAGCCAAGAAGCAAGCAUCCCUACACAGGAGAGAGAGAUUAAUCACGCCUGGAGUCUGUUCCUUCCGGGAAGUGGGCUCCAUGAUUGAUAGAGAUAAGGGAUGGGGGGCAGAAAGUCCCAACCAGCACCCCAGAUCUCCACCGGAAGCCGUAGAACACUACAGCUACUAGUGAUGGUUUGUAUAUGCUCGGCCCAGGGAGAGGCACUAUUUGGAAGUGUGGCCCUGUUGGAGUAGGUGUGUCACUGUGGGUGUGAGCUUUAAGACCCUCAUCCUACCUGCAUGAAAGCCAGUAUUCUGCUAGCAGCCUUCAGAUGAAGAUGUAGAAUUGUCAGUUCCUCCUGCACCAUGCCUGCCUGGAUGCUGCCAUGUCCCUGCCUCGAUGAUAAUGGACUGAACCUCUGGACCUGUAAGCCAGCCUUGAUCAAGGUGUCUGUUCACAGCAGUAAAACCCUAACUAAGACACUACUGCUCACAGAAGCCCAGGGUACCACUGGCUGGCCCUCAGCAAAUGGGACAGGAAGGAAUGUGCCUACAAACCUCACACCCAUCCAACCACCCACUUCUGCUCAGUGACAUGUUCCUGCAGUUAUGGCUGGUCCAUGCAAGGAUGCUCCUUUAGAGAGAUGGCAUCCAUGUGGCCUCUCUGAAUCACUGUGGGAAAGGGUUGUGUUUGCAGGUAACGGGGGCGGGACUCCUCCUUCUGUGUUUCGGCCCCGUGUUCCUUAGACUCUCAUCUCCAGAAAAGACCCAAGAACUAUUUUUCAGCUUACUGGAAAAAGAAUGUGUUUUGGUUUAUGGUUUCCAAACUUCCAGGCCAUGUGAAGCUGCUUCUGUGUGUCUGGGUCGUGGUGGGGCAGAGCAUCAUGGUGGACGGACAUGGUGGAGAGGGGCAAGUGGAAGAGAGGGGGAGGAAGAGAAAGAGUAGUAGUAGGGGCCAGCGAGAUGGCUCAGUAGGAAAAGGAGCUUGCCACCAGUCCUGAAUAUCUGAGUUCAAUCCCUGGGACCCAUGUAGUGGAAGGACUCCCUGGCUCCUAAAAGAUAUCAUUUUCAAUUCAACCCAUAACAAGCUCCAUGCAUGUGUGGACCUCCUCAGAUAGGAAGGCUCGCACUGCAGCCCUGGCAGGGUCUGUUUUGUCAGAAUCACGGCAGCCUGUUUCCUGUACGUUCUCAGAUAUUUCAGUGACGAUUUCAGUGACUUUAAUUGGAAAAAUACAUACUUUAGAGAAAGAGUUUUUUUUUAUUUGUGUGUGUGUAUGUGUGUGUGUGUGUGUGAGAGAGAGAGAGAGAGAGAGAGAGAGAGAGAGAGAGAGAGAGAGAGAGAGAGAGCAAUUUUGUGUAUGAGCACGGGGGCAUAAAUAUCCUGGCCCAUGUGACGGUCAGAGGGCAGCCUCGGGUAUCUGAACUUGCCCUUCACCUUGCUUGUGACAGGGUCUCAGAUUUUCUGCUGCACACACAGCAGAAUAGGUGGCUUGUAAACUUCUAAGGAUUCGCCUGUCUCUGUCUCUCUUGUCCCUUCACCCCCCUCCACCGGGUGUGCUGGAUUAUGCAUGGAAUCACAGCCAGUUUUCUGUGGGUGGCUGCUGGGGAUUUGAACUCAGUUCCUCAAGUUUGUGCAGCCAGCAGUUUCUCACUGAGCCAUCUCCUUGGCCCACUUUUCUUUCAUUUCAGAGACAGGACCUUUGCUGACAUCAGCAGCCUUUGCUGACAUCAACAGUCAUAGGUAGCAUGGAAUGGCCUUGUAUUUCUAAACUUUCUGUCUCUGCCACCGCUCCUGGUUUAUGUGGUCCUCUACCAACUGAGUCCCAUCCUAAGCCCCUAAUUAAAAAAGAUUUAUUCAUUGUUAUUUUAUGUGUAUGAGCGCUUUGUUUACACCUAAGUCUGUGCAUUCCUUGUGUGCCUAGUGCCCAAAGAGACCAGAGACCAGUGUCAGAUCCCCUGAAACUGGAGUUAGAAAUGGCUGUGAGCCACCAGGUGGAUUCUGGGAGCUAAACCUCAGUCUCUGCAACAGCAGCCAGUUUUCUUAACUACUGAGCCCCUCUACAGCUUCCUCUUAACCUGUCCUCUUAUAAAUGAGUUAUGAAGAGGUUUUGCAAAUAUUUUGGGGAGGACACUGAGACCCUCCACUGGGGAUGGGUUGCCACUCUGUGCUCUAGCUGAGUUCCUGCCAGUCUUGGGGAGAGGUAGGGAGUGGGAAGUGGGCACAGCCAGUGGCCGGAUGGAGCAGAAUCCAGACCUUGACAGUUCAGGGGAGGCCAGAGGGACCCAUUGUGCUCUGGCCAACUGCCUAGAACAUCCCGGAACUUGGAAAUGGGGGCCACGUCCUCCUGAGAGCACACUAG
rnacentral:lncRNA from 1 species